rnacentral:rRNA from 1 species
UACGGAGGAUUCAAGCGUUAUCCGGAUUUAUUGGGUUUAAAGGGUGCGCAGGCGGAGGUGCAAGUCAGUGGUCAAAUUGCGGGGCUCAACCUCGUCGAGCCGUUGAAACUGGGUGCCUUGAGUGGGCGAGAAGUACGCGGAAUGCGUGGUGUAGCGGUGAAAUGCAUAGAUAUCACGCAGAACUCCGAUUGCGAAGGCAGCGUACCGGCGCCCAACUGACGCUGAAGCACGAAGGCGUGGGUAUCGAACAGG